UGCCCGGUCGUCUAAUGGUAGGACCCGAGACUUUGGAUCUCGUUAUUCAGGUUCGAAUCCUGGCUGGGCAGCCA
rnacentral:tRNA from 1 species